GUGUGUGUGUGUGUGUGUGUGUGAAUUUUUCUAUUGGGAUGCACUUAGGCUAUUAUUUAAUUACCGCUUAUCUUCUCAUUUUGCCCAAAAGAUGUGAAAUGGGGCCCCUGAAUUCCAGGGGCUUUUUGGUUCUGAGCUUGCAAAUGACAAAACCCGCCAUUAGCUGUGAGGUGAGCGCCUGUGUUGGAUGCUUUGAAACAUAACUGCCUUUCCUUUGACCUCCACCAAACCUACAGGAGCAAAGACGUCGCUAGAAAGACUUUUAAAAGUGGAGGCUCCCGAGUGGUCAGCUGGUUCUCCGGGCCUUCUCCUCUGCCAACGAGAUGACGGUGGCCUGCAGAGGGAAGGGCCCAGUUCGUGCUUCCGAGUCCCCCUUCCCGUUGAACGGUCUCCAGUUUGUCGAGGCUGCAUUCUCUGUCCGCCUUAACACGACUGCAGUUUGGCUUGGAAUAUUGCGGGCCGUUUUCAGACAGACUUGCUCGGUUUCAGUGUCUGCUCUCCUCAGACAGCUCUGGGCUGACGCCAUGAGGGGAGACGUGCUGCCGCCCUCCCCCUUGUCUUCACCAUAGGAAACAGUCUUCAAUGUACGCCUGACAAAGCCGUGAAUGUGACAAUAAAGCCUAUUGAAUCCUGAACCUCUCGUCUCGCUCUCUCUCAUCAGCAUCAGCCAGCCCUCCCUCCCCUGCCAACUCCCUCACUUGGCUGGCACCCUGUUCCAGCGAGGGCCCUUCCACGAUCUGGAAAGGUACGUGCUGGUCAGUGGGAGCCCACAAAUGUGGGAUGGAGCUUCUUGCUUAAAGUAACUCUACAGUUGUGAAUGUUUAAGGCCUUGGAAGUUUUUGUUGUAGAAUGGGAAUUUUCCUUUACAGGUCAGGGACGGGAUGCACAAUGCUAUUGUGGGGCCUGGGUUGUCAUCCCAGAUGUGGCCUAUCUGUAAAAAAAAAAAAAAAGGAGACUCUGCAGUGUUCUGGGGUUGAGUACAGUCAGCUCAAUACCAUCUGCCACCUGGAGUAUCUGGAAGACCUUCCUAUCUACAGAGAAUCUCUUCCAUUUGGAUUCCACUGGACAUGUUCUACCACCAUGGCAAACACUUUUGUUAUCUUGAUGCACAAGAAAAAUCCGAUCAAAAAGGAAAAAGAAAAGAAAAAAAGAAAAGUCUACAACAAGAAAAAGAGUGAAACUACUUUGCUGCCCCACAGUCUCUGAGUGCAGAUGGCUCUUUCUAUCAUAAGACCAAUCACUUCGUUGUUGAAAAGAGCCACGUCCAUCAGAAUUGAUCAUCACAUAAUCAUCUUGUUACCAUGUAUAUUGAUCUCCUGGUUCUGCUCAUUUCAUUCAGCAUCAGUUCGUGUAAGUCUCUUCAGGCCUCUCUGUAUUCAUCCUGCUGGUCAUUUCUUACAGAGCAAUAAUAUACUAUAACGUUCAUAUGCCAUAACUUAAUCAGCCAUUCUCCAACCGAUGGGCAGCCACUCAGAUUCCAGUUUCUUUGCAAAAGAUCUUUACCCCAAGAUUACCUUCUAUCUUCUCUCUCUUUCCUUCUCUCUCUUUAAGCCUAAGUGGUGAUGAAUUGGAAACCAGAAUCCUACAAUAUAUUGUUUACAAGAGACACGCUUGGAGCAGAUACACAGAAUAAAAAUAAGGCGAGAUCCCAGACAAAGCAAAAGCAAAAUUAGACCUAAUUAAAAGAGAUAAACAGGGAAACUACACUUCUCUAAAAAGUAGACUGAAAUAAUAGCAAAAAUUUUUACAGUAAAUAUCUCUGAUAAAGGCCUCAUUUCUCAAAUAUAUAGGGAAGUGGGUCAAAUUUAUAAAAACAAGACCCAGUGAUACAUUAUGCUCUCAAUAUAAUUAACCAUGCCUGUCCUUAGACCCAUCAAUACUACUGCUAGGUCUGUAUCCCAAAGGGAAAAAAGGAAAAGGAUCUACAAAUACAGAAACAUUCAAGCAGCUCUUUUAGUGGUGGAUGGCCAUUUAUUGGGGAAUAACCAAACAUAUGAUGGAAUUUUAUUGUGCUAUGAGAAAUGACGAGCAGGAUGAUUUCAGAGAAACCUGAAAGACUUCUAUGAACUGAUGCAGAGUGAAAUGAGCAGAAUCAUUGAGUAGAUCAUUGCAAUAAUAGCAGCAUUGUAAUAAUGAUCAAGUGUGAAAGACUUGACAACUCUGAUCAAGACAAUGAUCUAAAACAAUUCCAAAAGACUCAUGAUGAAAAAAAAAUACGCUCUACUUCCAGAGAGAAAAGUGAUAAAUUCUGAGUGCAGAUUGAAGUAGAAUUUUCUCAGUCUUUUUUUUUCUUUUUGGUUUUGGUUUGUUUUUGCAACACGGCUAAUAUGGAACUAGAUUCUGCAUGGGGGAAAAUGUGUAAAUAGUGGUAUAGAAUAGCUCCUAAUGUCCAUGGGGUUCUCUCCAAGUUUAAGGAGUUUAUUUAUUUUAUUUUUUCCCAAUUACAUAAAAAAUUUCUUUUACAAUUUUGAAUCCCAAAUUCUCUCCUCCCCUCCCAACCUUCUGCCCUCCAGGAAGCAAUUUGAUAUAGGUUAUACAUGAGCACAUAUUAAAAAAUAAUAACAACACAGUGAGAUAAAGAAAGUGAAAAACAAUCUGCUUCAAUUUAUAUUCAGACUUCAUCAAUUCUCUAGAGGCAGAUAAUAUUUUUCAUUAUGAGUCUUUUAGAAUUGCCUUGGAUCGUUAUAUUGUAGAGAAUAGCUAAGUUAUUCACAAUUGAUUGUUGCACAAUAUUGCUGUUACUGUAUACAAUGUUUUCUUUGUUUUGUUCACUUGAUUUUGCAUCAGUUCAUUGAAGUCUUUCCAGAUUUUUACAGAACUAUUAUGCUUGUCAUUUUUAAUAGUGCAAUAGUAUUCUAUCACAAUCAUAUACUACAACUUGUUCUUUGGGCUACAGACCAAUAGUGAUAUUGCUGGAUCAAAAUUUGAUAGCGCAUAGUUUCAAAUCGCUGUACAGAUUGGUUGGAUCAGUUCGCAAUUCCACUAACAACACAUUGGUAUCCCAUUUUUUCCAUAUCCCCACCAAAAUGUAUUAUUUUCAUUUCCUGUCAUAUUAGCCAAUCUGGUAAGUAUAAGGUCAAAGUUGUUUUAAUUUGCAUUUUUCUAAUCAAUGAUUCUGAGGCCAGUUGCUCUGAGCCACUACUCAGGAAAACUCCUAACAUUUGCACAGAGUUGGGCUUUCUGCUUAACUUCAUUUUUAUAGCCCUCUCUAGUUUCAUAUUUUUCUCCUCCCAUCAACCUUCCCCUAGAUAGCAAGUAAUCCAAUAUAGGUCAAACCUGUGCAGUUGUUCUAAACAUAUUCCACAUUUAUCAUGCUGCACAAAAAAAAUCAGAUCAAAAAGGAAAAACAAAUGAGAAAGAAAAUAAAAAAAAAAACCAAGCAAACAACAACAAAGGUAAAAUGCUAUGUUGUGAUCCACACUCAGUCCACAUAGUCCUCCCUCUGGGUGCAGAUGGCUCUCUUCAUCACAAAUCUUUUGGAACUGGCCUGAAUCACCUCACUGUUGAAAAGAGCCAAGUCCAUCAGAGUUGAUCAUCACAUAAUCUUCUUGUUGCUAUAUACAAAUGUUCACUUCAUAUCAGUUCAUGUAAGUAUCUCCAAGCCUUUCUGAAAUCAUCCUGCUGGUCAUUUCUUAUAGAACAAUAAUAUUCCAUAACAUUCAUAUACCAUAACUUAUUCAGCCAUUCCCUACUAAUGGGCACCUACUCAAGUUUUCAGUUCCUUGCCACUACAAAAAGAACUGCUACAAACAUUUUAAUGGCAAACAUUGUUGAAUAUUUUCAAGUCUUAAGUCCUACAUGAGUUAAUCUUUUUUCCUCCAUGAAAAGUGGUGAAUAUACUUCAACUGACAGUGCAGCAAUUAUUCAAUUUGAUGGAAGCAGAUGUGCCCUUGUUACUGUUAUUCACAUGAGCUUAUGCCUCAGCUGGAUGGAGUUGUGCUGCUUGUUGCAUUUGAAUGUGAAGUGUGAAAACUUAAAGUGAAUCAUGUUUAUGUGUGGAAGUUAAAAGCACCAUGAUAUCUGUUAUGCUCUCGAUAUGAUUAAUUUUAGCUAGUGCAGUGUAAUAAUCUCUUUCCCUCCCCAAACUGUGACAUAUAAAAAUUUAAAUGAUUCAAGAACAGUCAUAAUUAAAAUUUGUGAAAAUUAAA